rnacentral:rRNA from 1 species
AUUGAACGCUGGCGGCAUGCCUUACACAUGCAAGUCGAACGGCAGCACGGGGCAACCUGGUGGCGAGUGGCGAACGGGUGAGUAGUGCAUCGGAACGUACCUUUCAGUGGGGGAUAACGUAGCGAAAGUUACGCUAAUACCGCAUAUUCUGUGAGCAGGAAAGCAGGGGAUCGCAAGACCUUGCGCUGAUUGAGCGGCCGAUGUCAGAUUAGCUAGUUGGUGAGGUAAAGGCUCACCAAGGCGACGAUCUGUAGCGGGUCUGAGAGGAUGAUCCGCCACACUGGAACUGAGACACGGUCAAGAUUCCAACGGGAGGCAGCAGUGGGGAAUUUUGGAGAAUGGGGGCAACCCUGAUCCAGCCAUGCCGCGGGAGUGAAGAAGGCCUUCGGGUUGUAAAGCGCUUUCGGCCGGGAAGAAAUCGCACGGGCUAAUACCCUGUGUGGAUGACGGUACCGGAAUAAGAAGCACCGGCUAACUACGUGCCAGCCGCCGCCGUAACAC